UUGAAUUUAGGUUCAUAAAGAGGUCCUAGCUUUGCCUCGCCCUCCACAGCUCUCUGGCACAAUGAGGCAGAUUCCCACUGAGGGCUGUGGUUCUGAUGCUGGGAGGGAGGCAUGGCCAUGGAGUGGGCUUACGAUAAACUCACGGAGGGCAGAAGCUGGCCACGUCACGGCUUUCGCUCUGGACGGUGGCUGCCCCAGGCGGGGUACAGAAGACCCAGGAAAGCAGGAGAUGGACCCGUGUCUGUUCAUAGGCACCCCAGGCAAGAUGAGUUUGAAAUUCUUGCUUGGGGCCAUAUGGAGUGGAUAUUCCAGGAGGAAAUUAUACACCGCUCUGUUUCUACUCAACCGCUUUUCACGUUGUCAAGUGGACCCUUUGAAGCCGACUUCUCCUCACCUCACAUUCUGACAUGAGUAAUUGUUUAAUUGCCUUUCAGUCUACACAAGAUAAGCAGCCAUGUCUCAAAAUUCUGUAAUUCUUUUAACCAAACAAUAGUGGAACCACCCAGAGCCAUUCUCAAAGAAAGAAAAGAAUUCCUCACAUAUGUGAAGCAUUUUAUUCUUUUCCAAUGCUUUGCAUUGUAGUAUUUUCCACAACUGGAUAAUGCAUAUGAAACACUGUAUAAAUUGUAUCAUGUAACCAAAAGGUAGGGUUUUAUAACAAUUAUUGAUCUGGUUUUUCUAUGUAAGAAACUGAAAGACAGGGAGGGGAAGUUAUCGCCCCAGAUCACUGCAAUUGAGGUGAGCCCAGACCGUGCUGGCUUGUCCGCACAGGCCACCUUCCCCAGCAGAGGCCAAGGACUGGCUUGGACCAGCAUCAGACGCUUCCCUGAGUGGAUGGGCUGAGUGAGCCCUGGCUGUGUGUCCUGACCUGGGUUACUUCGCGCUGACCCCACUGGCUCCGCUCACGGGCUUCAGGCACAGACCUGUCUGUUGAUCUUGUUCAGUAGUUACCAAAUCACUCUUCAGCACAACCACUUCCUCAGGCUGGAGCAGAGGAGUUGCUACAUUCUCUAAAUUUUAAAGCACAUACGUUGCUUUUUCUUUUAAAAAAUUUGUCCCUGAAAUCAGUUUACAACCCAUUUCCAUAUUUGUAAAAGCUGUUAGCAAAUCCUCAGGAUAGGAUUCUUUAGCUUCCAGUGUGUUAAGACAUAGCCUGGAGCAGCACCUCUGUCUGGGAUGGAGCCCACCCUGGUGGGCAGAGAUAGAGGGCCGAGGAUGCCCCCUACACCAGCUAACCCCAUGGAGGGUGCAGGGUAACCUGAGAGAAGCAGCUGGAUGCAGGUGGUGAGGAAACCAGAGAGGGUUUCAUGUCCAUCAAAAACAUAAUCAGCAGAGUGAAAAGGUAGUCCACAACUAUGUAAAAGUGUUUGCAGAUCAUAUAUCUGAUAAGGGAUUAAUAUACAGCAUAUAGAAAGAACUCUUACAGCUCAAACACAACAAAAAUAAAUAAAAAUUUGGGCACAGGAUUUGAAUAGACAUUUCUCCAAAGAAGACAUACAGAUGGCCAACAUGCACAUGAAAAGGUGCUUAACAUUACCAGUCACUAGGGAAAUGCAAAUCAAACCAUACUGAGAUAUUGCUUCACACCCAUUAGGGUGACUAUUAAAGAAAGACAACCCCUCUACCCCUGCAACAAACCAGAAAAAAACAAGUGUUGGUGAGGAUGUGGAGAAACUGAAUUCUUGUACACUGCUGGAAGGAAUGCAAAACUGGACAACUUCUAUGGAAAACAAUAUGGCAGUUCCUCAAAAAUUUAAACAUAGAAUCACCAUAUGAUCCAGAAAUCCCACUUCUGGAUAUAUACACAAAAUAAUUGAAAGCAGGAACUUGAGCAAAUAUUUGUAUACCAAAUGUUCUUGGCAGCAUUAUUCGUAAUAGCCCAAAUGUGGAAACAAUGCAAAUACCCAUUGAUGAUGAAGGGAUAAACAAAAUAUGAUAUAUCUGUACAGUGGAAUACUAUCCAGUCUUACAAAGGAAGGAAAUUCUGACACACGCUGCAACAUAAAUCAGCCUUGUAAACAUAUGCUAAGUAAAACAAACUAGAUGCAAAAAGUCAAAUACUGUGUGAUUCCUCUGACGUGCGAUACCUGCAGUUGUCAAAUUCAUAGAGAUAGAAAGUAGAAUGGUGGUUUCAAGGGGCUGGGGGGUAGGAGAGAAUGAGGAGUGACUUAAUGGGGACAGAGCUUCAGUGUGGGAUGAUGGAAAGGUUCUAGAGAUGGGUGAUGGUGAACAGCAAUGCGAAUGUACUUGAUGCCGCUGAACUGGACACAAAGACGGUUAAUGCUACAUUUUAUGAUAUUGUA